CAAGAAGAAAUAUGGCUCAGCAUGGCUUAGCACAUCUGUUGAUCAUCAGCAGUUUCUGUCAGAAAAACAGGCUGCUAUUUUUUUAACGAAGUGUUAACCCUUUUACCUUCUUUGAUGUUAAAACCAUUUGUAUCUACUUAUUAUAUAACAAAUUAAGCACAAUAACCAAAAGUUAAAGGUGUUACGAGUACACAUAGGUGUAAAUAUAACUCCCAAACCAAUGAGCUCAGGGAAUACCAAGCUUUAAGUCUUGAGAUGGUGAAGUAUGAAAGUUCAGUUCAUACACAGAAUCAAUGACGAGAGAGAGAUAUUGGUAAUCGAAGGUGAAUGUCGGGAGAAGGCAAUUACGUUGAAUUCCAUAAACUCCACAGUGGUAAAACAGGAAAACAGUCGCCGUAGGUCUUAUCCGUCGUCGUUCUAAAUCCACAUACGAAUUAUCACUAAAAGUCGCUUAUCACAGGGGUACUAUCUGCAAAGGGAAUGACCACCCAGGCAAGGGUUGACACACAGGUAGAUUCCGCAAGGUACUCCCAAUCCAGACCCAACACACAAAGUAUUACUGACAGUGAUUUCCACAGAGUAUCCCUUCUCACAAGUGUUUACCACAUAACACACAUUGACAUUACAUACCUGUACAAAGGAAGGUAGGAAAUAGUUGGAGUGAGACUGAAUGUGCCCUGAAGAUCCAGCUAUGCCUCUGUCAGACCCAGUUGCAAUCACUCCAGGUCUGGUAAUGUGCUUCCAGCAGCCCAGCCCUUUGAAACCACUCCCAUUCCCUCACAGUGGUUACUCUUGCAUCUUCUGAAGUCGCUUUUGGUCAGUUCUGAGUGGGGAGAGGGAAAGAGAGGGGAGUGUUUAUACUGACUGUCUUUCAAAAAAAGUAAUUGUUUGAACUUGCUGCAAACUCUCUACCCAUACCCUGUACUUUCUCAACUAAAUUAUUGACAUAGAUGACCAGUAGCAAUGGGUUUAACCCCAGGAAACGUCACUAACCACGGGACUCGAGUACAAGAGACUCUCAGGGUCGGUGAGUGGCAGAUUCAGCUGUGUGACUCUGUGAGGUUGGGUCCUGGGAUAUCAGUUUCUGAUCCAAGUAAAAUCGGUGGAAAUCAAGCAGAAUUUCAAGUUGCUGGAGAUCUGCACUAAAAUCUGAAAAUGUUUGAAGUCAUUCUGAUGAAACGUUAUUAACCUGAAUUGUAGAUCCCACAGCUGUUCCUUACCCGCUGAGUGUUUCUGGUAAUUCCAGUUUCUUUUUAUUACAUUCACCCAGGACUGAUUUGUACUUCCUGAAAUGGACCUGAUUUAACCUGGAAAUGGAAAUGACUCGUCCUGUGAUAGGACAUCAGUAAAGAAAGCACAGCUUUUCCCUGUCAAUUAUCUGUUAGACCUGUGGUGAGAGAUUUAUUGGAAGAAAAACCGCAACUGGAAGCAAACCACGACUGAGGACGUGGGAACAGCAACAAGUGAACCAGCCCGAGGACUGAGAGCAUCAACUGGAGAGAACCCAUUUGACUCGAAGAUUCCAGUGAUUCAGUCAGGAGAAAGUUUGGGUGUGCCACUGAGGAAAGCCAAUAUUAUACAUCCCUCGAGGGACAGAAGUUCCCAGUCACGGUGAUUAGAGAGGUUAAAGGAAGAGACGGUAUUGCAUUACUGGCCGAAUUUCCGGAUUUCCUUUGGCGACAGACAGAACUGGUAGUUCCCCAUACCACCAUUAGGAUUUGCUCUGGGUUCAAGCCAAAGAGCCCAGGGUUCCUGGCCUACACCCUAACGAAACAAGCCUCCAGCACCGAAGGAGACUGGCAAGACUGGCUGUGGGUCUAGUCCAAUACGGGAAGGAGUCUGAGGUGAAGACGGGAUAUCUGGUAAGACAACCUUUUAAUAGUGACCAAUCCCAAGAUGCUGUACCCCAUCUCUGUGCAAUUUCAGGCCGAGAAGUCUGUUGCACCGACUGCCCCCCUGUCUGGAUCACCAUGAAAGAAGGACAGACUCUCCCAUCCAUUUAGCAAUAUCCCCUCAAUCCCGAGGCAAAGUUUUAUGAGAAUGGAAGCUCUUUUGUGGAUCCAGCAGGAUAACAAUAUUCUGACUAUGCAAUAGUGACGGACAGUGAAGUAACUGAACAGGCCUCUUUUGAAGCAGCUGUCUCUGCCCAGAAGGCUGAGCUGUUUGCUCUGACUCGUGCCUGUAUCCCAGCAACAGACUAAAGUGGGAACGUUUACACAGACUUCCGUUAUGCAUUUGGGAUUGUACAUGACUACGGGGCUCUCUGGGAACAUGGGGAUUCCUGACUUCCUCUGGCCACCCCAUUAGUAAUGCAACCUUUGUAAACAACUUACUCACCGUUCUACAGCUACCGUAAGUUUUGUUUUUCUCAGGGGGAUGCCUCUGAGGAGGAGUGAAAACUGUGGUCCCAUAUGGGGUGCCAGAAAGACCCCGGCCUAGGUUUUUGGUUCACCCCAGUGGGACAGGUUUGUGUUCCUACACAGUUUUUACCAAUAUUGGUCGAUUAUAUACAUAAUUGUACACACCUGGGAAAGGACGGAAUGGUUGGUAACCUGUGCCCUGCACACCAGGUACGAGUCCCUUGACAGGUGGACCUUUUCGUGUCUACAAGUUGAUUUGAUUGAAUUGCCUAGAGUACAUUGCUAUAGAUACUGCUGAGAUAUUAUAGAUAUGUUUAGUAGAUGGGUUGAAGCUGUUCCAACUACCAAUAAUACUGUUAUGACUGUUGUGAAGGUAUUAUUAUGGGAAAUAAUUCUCAGGUACGGCCUGGCAGAGAUGCUGAGCUCUGACAAUGACCCACACUUCGUGAUGAAAGUAAACAAAGGCAUACAUAACGAACUAGCUAUCCAGCAACAAUUCCACUGUGUACACCACCCACGGGCCGCUGGCAGAGUGGAGAGAGCCAAUGGCACUCUGAAGAGUAAAUUGGCCAGACUAACAGUGGAGACUGGACUCACCUGGUUGAAGGUCCUACCAUUACCCAGUUCCACAUGAGGGUUACCCCACAGGGGAAAACAGGGUUGUCACCAGCUGAAAUCAUUUAUGGAUGGCCCAUGAGGAGACCCUAGGGACUAAGACCUUGUGUACCAUUGCUCCCAGAAAGUCUACCAGCAAAAUUGGAUAUUCAUACCCGAGGGGAAGGCAUGGGGAAAUAUAUAUGCCAACUAACCAAAAUUUUCCAAGCAUACAUUCACAGGUAUGACAGGCAUACAAGGAAGAGAACUACUCUGCACCAUAGAACCUGGGAUUUUUUUUCCUGAUGAAGAACUGGGAUUAAGGGAAUCUUGGACCUCAGUGGAGAGGACCAUAUCAGGUGUUACCGACCACUCCCACAGCUGAGAAACUGAAGGGGCAAUCUCGGUGGAUACAUCAUUAGGCGCCAAACAUGUUACUGAAGGAACUGAGUAGAAGGUCUCUCUCGGACUAAUGGAAAAUGUAUUGGUUGUUAGUGGUGUUCAUGUUUAUGUGUUUGAGAGGGCUCACCCCAGCAUCCGGGGGCCCCCAUGUUAACACAUUUCCAUCUUUCUGUAAUACCUGUGCCAAUCAGGUAGAACUAGGGGCCUGCUGGGUUUGGGCUGAAAUUCCACAGCAUGGUAAAACUAUGGUUCCAAUGUCAGUAAUCCCGCUCAACCAGAGUGAGGAACUCUCAGCCUGGGCUUUCUCAAAUAACAUACGGGGAAGUGAGUUGAGGACCUGUGGUCCAGUCAGAGAUGACUGUGGCUGUCAGUGUUUUGAGGAAUGGUGUCUCAGGCCCCCACCAAACGGAACUUCCAAUACUGGGAAACAUGCAUCCUGGCCAUACUUGCAGGUGUCCAGCAGCAGAGAGGAACAACUGAGACUGAUUGAUUGUGGAUGAUUACUUUUCUCUCCUAUGGAGUAGCCAGGAAUUCAUCAGAGAUAUUCAAUUUGGAUACAGCACUUGAGGAGCUGGCCACGAUACUGCAGGGGCCUUGAGAGAAACACAGGCCCAAGUAACAGAAAUAUCCACUGAAAUGAUUGCAAUCUGGCAAACAGUCCUACAGAAUCAUAUGGCUUUAGAUUUUAUCCUAGCUGAGAAAGGGGGAACCUGUGCUAUUAUCGACACAGAAUGUUGAACCUAUAUCCCUGAUGAAUCUACUACCAUUACAUCCCUCUCCGAGCACACUGUCACGGAGACUGACAGCAUCAAGAAAGUAGGGCAGGAUUUACAUGGGUUCACUGAAGGAUCGAAAUGGUGAUCUGUGAAGGCCUGUUUGGUAAUAUGUGGGGCAUGAUACUGCAUUAUAGCCUAAUAGUUGUACAUAUCUUUGUUGUAAUUACUGUUGUACACUGUCUUUACCCACUGAUAAGCCAAUGCUGUCAUCAGUUGCUUUCUCUAUAAAAAGUUAGUGCUUUGUUGAUAUUGUAAUGAUCAAAAGGAGGGAAUGAUAAAGUCUGUAAAAUGGUUAACACUUUGUUAAACAAUAGCAGCCUGUUUUUCUGAAAGAAACUGCUGAUGAUCAACCGAUGUGCUGAGCCGUGUUUCUUUUUGAGGGUAGCUAGCUGGAGUUUCAAGUUUCCAUGUCCACUCAUGAGAAGAGAUAGGACAGCUUCAGUCUGUUCUGUGUCUGGAAUCCUUUAUGACUGUUUUGUAAUUUGUCAAUAGGGGCGGCUCAUGUAGUAAAUACCUUUGGCUCCAGCCUGUCUUGUGUGGGGGUAUCUGGAUGGAUAUAUCCGUGGUGUAAGGGGAAUUGUUAGUCAGUUAGUGGAUUGGGUGGGGAAAGUCAUUGACUGUUCCUGAAUGAGCGACUAACUGAGUAAGCCCCAGGUACGUGGAAUAAAGAGUUUGUACCGCACGGUCUCUGAGUGACUCUCUCCAGCUUCGACUUACAGGAUGGGAGUGGUUUUAAAGGGCUGGAAACCGGAAGCUCAGUACCAGACCUGGAGUGAUUGUAACUGGGUCUGACAGAGGCAUAACUGGUUGUUCUGGGCACAUUCAGUCUCACUCCAACUAUAACCCACCUUCCCUUUUACAGGUAUGUAAUGUCUAAAGGACCAGUGUUUGAGUAAAUGAG